rnacentral:rRNA from 1 species
GGCCUAACACAUGCAAGUCGAGCGGUAGAGAGGUGCUUGCACCUCUUGAGAGCGGCGGACGGGUGAGUAAUGCCUAGGAAUCUGCCUGGUAGUGGGGGAUAACGCUCGGAAACGGACGCUAAUACCGCAUACGUCCUACGGGAGAAAGCAGGGGACCUUCGGGCCUUGCGCUAUCAGAUGAGCCUAGGUCGGAUUAGCUAGUUGGUGGGGUAAUGGCUCACCAAGGCGACGAUCCGUAACUGGUCUGAGAGGAUGAUCAGUCACACUGGAACUGAGACACGGUCCAGACUCCUACGGGAGGCAGCAGUGGGGAAUAUUGGACAAUGGGCGAAAGCCUGAUCCAGCCAUGCCGCGUGUGUGAAGAAGGUCUUCGGAUUGUAAAGCACUUUAAGUUGGGAGGAAGGGCAUUAACCUAAUACGUUAGUGUUUUGACGUUACCGACAGAAUAAGCACCGGCUAACUCUGUGCCAGCAGCCGCGGUAAUACAGAGGGUGCAAGCGUUAAUCGGAAUUACUGGGCGUAAAGCGCGCGUAGGUGGUUCGUUAAGUUGGAUGUGAAAUCCCCGGGCUCAACCUGGGAACUGCAUUCAAAACUGUCGAGCUAGAGUAUGGUAGAGGGUGGUGGAAUUUCCUGUGUAGCGGUGAAAUGCGUAGAUAUAGGAGCGAACACCAGUGGCGAAAGCGACCACCUGGACUGAUACUGACACUGAGGUGCGACAGCGUGGGGAGCCAACAGGAUUAUAUACCCUGGUAGU